GAUGAAGAACGUAGCAAAAUGCGAUAAGUAAUGUGAAUUGCAGAAUUCAGUGAAUCAUCGAAUCUUUGAACGCACAUUGCGCCCGCUGGUAUUCCGGCGGGCAUGCCUGUUCGAGCGUCAUUUCAACCCUCAAACCCCCCGGGUUUGGUGUUGGGGAUCGGCUCUGCCUCACGGCGGUGCCGCCCCCGAAAUACAUUGGCGGUCUCGCUGCAGCCUCCAUUGCGUAGUAGCUAACACCUCGCAACUGGAACGCGGCGCGGCCAUGCCGUAAAACCCCAACUUCUGAAUGUUGACCUCGGAUCAGGUAGGAAUACCCGCUGAACUUAAGCAUAUCAAUAAGCGGGGA
rnacentral:misc_RNA from 1 species